GGCAGGCCUAACCAUGCAAGUCGAGCGGAAACAGAUCCUAGCUUGCUAGGAGGCGUCGAGCGGCGGACGGGUGAGUACUGCAUAGGAAUUUACCCGGUAGUGGGGGAUAACCUGGGGAAACUCAGGCUAAUACCGCAUACGUCCUACGGGAGAAAGGGGGCCUUGGCUCCCGCUAUCGGACGAGCCUAUGCCGGAUUAGCUGGUUGGUGAGGUAAUGGCUCACCAAGGCGACGAUCCGUAGCUGGUCUGAGAGGAUGAUCAGCCACAUCGGGACUGAGACACGGCCCGAACUCCUACGGGUGGCAGCAGUGGGGAAUAUUGGACAAUGGGGGCAACCCUGAUCCAGCCAUGCCGCGUGUGUGAAGAAGGCCCUCGGGUUGUAAAGCACUUUCAGUGAGGAAGAACGCCUGGCGGUUAAUACCCGCCAGGAAAGACAUCACUCACAGAAGAAGCACCGGCUAACUCCGUGCCAGCAGCCGCGGUAAUACGGAGGGUGCAAGCGUNAAUCGGAAUUACUGGGCGUAAAGCGCGCGUAGGUGGCUUGAUAAGCC
rnacentral:rRNA from 1 species